UGGGAUUACACCGAGUAUGUUGUUAUUGUUGUUGAAUAUCAGCUUCCGAUAGUGGCAUACGAGGUGGGCAUCCAUCAACAACACAACCAAUACCAUCACCAUGAGAUUCUCCAAAUGUUGUAGCGCGGAAGAAAGUUCCAUAUGUAUUUCCAGCAGCCUUUAUCUUCGUGUAUCUUAUAUUCAAACUUGUAAACUACUUGUGAGUUGGGA
rnacentral:misc_RNA from 1 species